UCUUCUUAAUCCCCUCACCUGCUCUCAGGACUUGUUCCUCAGUCUAACAGCGACUGACAAGUGGCGCCCGAACAGGGACCUGAGUACGUGGGAUGUUGAGAGGGACCCCGGAGAUACUUCGCGUGCACGCAUAAGGAAAUUUGUCCAUCGUUCCCGGAAGGAGGAACUGUUAAUAUUCAAACAUGGGAAAAAAUAGGGACGCUGAGGAUCCUCGUUGGGUGCCUGAGCGCCUGGUGAGAUUCUAUGGAUCCGGACCAAAUGGAGAACUCCCUUCCCUGCGUUAUGGAUCCGGACCUGAUGUCCUCCUGCGAACUGGCUUAUGAGUAAUUGCAGAACUCCGAGUCGGACUCUACCACCUCACAUUAAAAAAUAAGGAAGGGGGACGUGUCGGGAACCAGCUGCAAGCUGACACAGUCUUUGCAGCUUAAAGCAUGGCAAAAUCCUGCUUAAUUCCUGACAGGACCUGAAAGAGUUAUUAGAGAAGAUAUGAGUCUUGGCCCGUGAGGUUGCUUGCGGUUUCUCUAACUAUAGUUUGUCCUUGGCAUAUUUUGGCAAUCACAGUCUGUUCUCAUGCAUGUUUAUAUUCUGGUUCGCAGUAUGUUUUGUACUAUAACUUCAACAUUAAGGAAAUACUGUCUGAUGAUUCUGUCUUGUGAUUUUAACAAAAACAUGUAUUUCCUACUUCAAUCUAUAAAAAGAGUU